GUUACUUCCCGUUACCACAGGUGGCGUCGUUAGAAAUAUUUUGAUGAGAUCUCUAGAGAUACCUGUAAAAUUAUGCUUUCUAUCGCUGUUGACUUUAAAAUUGAGUUAUUAUAGGUGAAGCUUGAAAGAUCCAAGUUAAAAAUGUCUGACUUACCAAAGAUUGACAUUCCACAGAAGUCAGAAUGUGUGAAAGUUGUGGUGAGAUGUCGUCCACUAUCAGAGAAGGAAGUUCAGAAAGGAUUUGAAAGGGUGGUAGAGAUGAAUACUAAAAGAGGAGUGAUAGAAAUUAGAAAUCCAAAACUGCCUCCAUCAGAUCCAAAGAAAACCUUUACAUUUGAUACAGUUUAUGAUUGGAACUCUAAACAGAAAGAUUUGUAUGAGGAGACGUUUAGAGACCUGGUGGAGAAUGUUUUACAGGGCUUUAAUGGUACUAUAUUUGCUUAUGGCCAGACUGGGACAGGCAAAACACAUACAAUGCAAGGUCUAAAGAAUGACCCAGAGCAGCGAGGUGUGAUACCUAACUCAUUUGAACACAUAUUUAGUCAUAUAUCUAAUUCAGAGAACCAACAGUACCUGAUCAGAGCUUCAUACUUGGAAAUUUAUCAGGAGGAAAUACGGGAUUUACUGUCAAAGGACCAAAACAAACGAUUGGAGUUAAAAGAAAGGCCAGAUACAGGUGUAUAUGUGAAGGACUUGUCUUCAUUUGUAACCAAAAGUGUGAGAGAAAUUGAGCAUGUGAUGAAUGUGGGUAAUCAAAACAGAUCUGUUGGAGCUACAGACAUGAAUGAGCACAGCUCUAGAAGUCAUGCCAUCUUUAUCAUCACCAUAGAGUGUAGUGAGAUGGGUGAGGAUGAAGAAAAUCACAUCAGAGUGGGACGUCUCAAUCUUGUUGAUUUGGCAGGUAGUGAGAGACAGGAAAAAACUAAAUCUGAGGGUCAGAGAUUAAAAGAAGCUACAAAAAUCAAUUUAUCUCUGUCGGCCUUGGGUAACGUGAUCUCAGCGCUUGUUGAUGGCAAAAGUACACACAUACCUUACAGAGAUUCAAAACUUACCAGAUUAUUGCAAGAUUCUCUGGGUGGAAAUGCAAAGACAGUUAUGGUAGCUAAUAUAGGACCUGCUGAUUAUAACUUUGAUGAAACCAUGAGCACUCUCAGGUAUGCAAACAGAGCAAAGAAUAUCAAGAAUAAGCCAAAGAUCAAUGAAGAUCCUAAAGAUGCCUUGUUGAGAGAGUUCCAAGAGGAAAUAGCAAGACUGAAAGCAAAUCUAGCCGGAAAAGGAGGGCCAAAGAAGAAGAAAAGGAGGAAGCAUGCAAGAAGAAAUGAAAAUGGGGAAGUAAUCAGUGAUUCUGAAGGUGAUGAUGAAGAUGAGGAGGAAGGAGAAGGGAGUGAAGCAGAUGCCGAGGCGUACAUGCAGGAACAGCAAGCAAAACUAGAACAGGAGAAAGAAUCUAUCAUGAAUAACAAAAGCAUGAUUCAAACCGAAAAAGAUCGAAUAUUAAAUGAAAUUAAAGAGAAAGAAGGUAGAAUGAAGAAAGAAAAAGAAAACAGAGAUCAGCUGGAAUCUAAAAUAAAGGCAAUGGAGAGUAAAUUGUUAAUGGGAAAUAUAGUGGAUCAUACCAACCAGCAGCAGAGAGCUUUGGAACAGAGAAGAAAGGAAAUUGCUCAACAGAAGCAAGUGGAACGAGACAUUCAGCAAAAAUUAGAGGAGAAGGAAGAAUCUGCUGUGGAACUCCAGGAGACCUACGUUUCUCUGCAACAAGAAGUGGAAGUGAAAACCAAAAAGUUGAAAAAGUUGUUUGCCAAACUACAAGCAACAAAACAAGAAAUCCAAGACCUGCAGGAGGAACAUGUGAAGGAACGACAGGAGUUAGAACAGACACAGAAUGAACUUACACGAGAACUUAAGCUCAAGAUGUUAAUCAUUGAGAAUUUCAUUCCAUCUGAAGAGAAAACGAAACUCCAAAACCGAGCAAUUUAUGAUGAAGAUGAAGAUAUGUGGAUGUUAAAACCUCUUGCAAAUAAAAAUUCACAAACCAUGGCGAAGCGGCCAAAGUCUGCUUGUGGUAACAGAAGGCCAGUAUCAGAGUACGCCAAAAUGGCUGCUGCGAUGGGUGGCAAUCCAAGAUUUAAGGGUGAGAACAUUUUGAUGGUUGAACUGGAUAUGCCAAACAGAACUACACGAGACUAUGAUGGACCCCAGGUAGCACCAAGAAUACAGGCUGCGCUGGACGCUGCUCUCCAAGAUGAGGCUGAUAUUGAUCUUGAUGGAAGCCUGGCAAUUUUCAGUAGCAGUAAGUCGAAGAGAAAGGAAGCCAGUAAGUCACGGCCUAAAUCAGCCAAGAAAACUAAUGUGGAUUCUUCACAAGUGUUUCCUAAAGCAAGAGGCCUUGUGAAGCAAUGAGAAACUGUUGUGAAAUAGUGAGAAACUGCGGUGAAGCAAUGAGAAGUUAUUAUGAAGCAAGGAGAAAUUAUUGUGAAACAGCGAACAGUUUGUGAAAUGUAUAAAAACCAUUUGAGUAAAAAUACCAGUGAAAAACAGCGAGAAGAAAACUAUAAUAAUACUGGGUGUAAACCUCUGCUGAUAUAGCCGUAUGCAUCAUUUCAAAUCUCAUUUUGCAUAAUCACAAACCUGGUAAUGUUUAAGAAUCAUUUGACAUAGCGCUUGUUUAUGUAGUCAUAAAACAAAUUCAAGAAGUAGAAAUCUUUCUGUGUCGGGUAUACACAAAGAAAAUCUUUUGUAAGGUAUUUAUUACAGGUUUUCACAAAGAAUAAAAAACAAUGUAGCAAACUUUUUGCACAUUUACAAAGAACAUUGAAAUUGUUGAAUGGUAUCAUUGGCUUACUUGAACAGUCCUGAUUGUGUGCAAUGUAUUACCACUGCAUGUAGGAGAGGUUUUGAACUUAAAAUGCAGCUUAUUGGAAAUAUUUCACUGUUGGUUCACUGUUGGUUAUGGUUGUGCAAAUAAAAAAAAUGAUGAAGAACACCAAACAUUUACACUUUUUAGUCCUGGAACUUUUAUUGGCAUCGUUAUAAAAUCGGUCUUCAUUUAUGAAUUAAGGUAGAAAUCACUUGCAUUGUGCCUUUAGAUUUUCUAAAGUUAAUUGUUAGUUCAUGGAUAUUUAGAGGUUUUCUUUCUUUUUAAUGUGCAACUGAUUUUUUGUAAGAUCAAUUUUAGUGGAUGCUGCAGAGCAGGUAAAUUUUUGCACAGGCAUUAAGUGAUAUUUGCAUAAUUAACAAUUUGCAAGACAUGAGCGUUUGUGUUUUAGGACCUGAUGCAGAUCAAUGAUCACAAAUAUUUUGAAUUCAAAAGUGGCAUUAUUCACAAAUAUUAGUGAAAAAAAAAACAAUGGCAGAUAUUACCCAAUCUAUAGUAGUUCUUGAUUGUGUACAUAUCAUGAAAUGUGUACAUUUCUUGAAAUAUAUACAUAAAAAUAAUCGCAAAACAAUUUAUAUAUUAUGAUAGUGGUUGAUAUAAUAAUAUUCAAAAAUCUUAUUUAGUUGAAGUGUUUGACACACAUACACACUGCUUUUGAAUUGUCAAAUAUAGUUUUACAGCAGAUGCUGAUUUAAGUCACAUAUUGUCGCUUUGGCGCAAAAAGGGGGUACGUUAUUCUUUAUGUCAAUGCCGUUAUCCACUUCCUGUUCGGACUUGACGAAUUAUACAUUGUAACUUUAAUGCCUAACAUGUGCUGUUUCAUCACCAACCACAAUAUGACUGUGAUAUUUAUCCAUAUAAAUUUAUACAUGACAUUAGUGUACAUAUUUUUAUCAUUAUAUUUAUUACUAAAUUUGUCAUAUCAUAUAUUGUAAAAUCAUUGGCAUAUUUGUAGAAAUAGCCCUAGCGUCUUGUGUUUAGAAUGUAUAAAGUUUUGUUUGUGAUUUAUUUUGGUUGUUUAUAUGAUUUCUUAGCAAAAGCCCCCAAUUAAUAGGACCCUGUAUUUCAGUCUCGUUCACAGAGUUGUCAUUCCUGACUUUACAUUCAUUACUGUCAAUGUCUGCAAAGUAGUAUGUCUGCAAUGAAGAACAUCAGUUUACUGUCAAAUCCCAUGGUUGUAAAUCAAAGAUGUCAAAUGGAAAAGUGGAUUAUCAGUCUAAAUUGUUUUACUUUUGCUUAAGACAUGUUGAAAUUAGAACUAAAUAUCAAAUUUAGAAGUGGGCUCAUUGACAUGUGGCUGUUUUAAUACAGGGACCUGCUAAGACAGUUUCAACAGUGUAUUAGAAUUUUUGUGGAAUAAAUUAGGUAAAAUCCUAUUGACCGUACAAGUUUGCACCUCUAAGUCAAAUAUUCUUGAACAGAAUUGAAUUUAGGCAUUGCCAAAUGUGAAUGUCUCUGCAGUAGAAGUGGAAGAAUGACAGCUGUGUGGGAGAUUGCCUAAACUUUUGUGACAAAGCUUAAAAACGUGAAAAUAUCUUGCUGUAACUGAUAUAAAUGUCAAAAAUGUUUGUGAAAGGUUUACAUUUUCAGAGACUUUCUGUUUAAAAUCUCCCAUUUUGUAAGUUAAUGUAUGUAAUGAAAGAACUGAUACAUAGCAUAUUAGUAGUAUAUAACAUGUUUUAAUUUUUGUAACUAUUUCUUUUGAGAUAGAGAAAAAUGCUUAAUAUCAUGUUCGUUUUUGGGGGAAAAAAAAACUGAAAUCUACAUUUGAAACGUUGCCUGUUGAGAAGCGCUGUGAAAUCUUUUGAUAUUGUGGACUUCAAAUUUCAGGAUUUCGUCCAUAUGAUGGUUUCAUGUGGGCUUAUAUUUAUGUAUUCCAAUUGUUAAACUGAAGAAAAAGUUAACUUAAUGUGUUAGGCGUGACUUAAUUUCAUGGACUGACCAAACAGGAAAAUCCAGGAAAAUUAGUUCCUCUCAGAAACUGAAGGAUCUCACAGUUUUUGAUAAAUAUUAGAAUUGGAAAUAUUUAUGAAUGGUACUGGCCUCCCAAAAAAAUGUUGAAUGUAUGUUUGUUUUAUUUUUUUCUCAAAUUUCAUUUUGUGCGUUAUAAUGUAGUUGUUAUUCCGUUGUGCCUGAUUGUUAGUUAUCUCUUUGAUGUGGAAGAUGACUGUAGAUUGCUGUAAGGUUGUGAAAUAGAUUGAAGAAAUUCUCACAUAUCUCAAUAUCAUUGUACAUUUACAGGUAUUUUCUCUGCUUGCUGGCAUACAACUUAAUUUAUUUCACAUUCUGUUGACUGGCUAACAAAAUGGUUGUAUACUUUCAAUUAUUUGCAUAUUUUGGUACGUAUAGUGAAAGUAAUGCUGUUAAUGUAGUUAUGAUGCUAUUGAUCAUUGUUACGGAGCGCAGAGAAAGGUCAGUGUUAUAUCUUCUUUUGAAUUUGAAGUUUAUUUUGCAAACUUCCUUAAUAUAUACCCGUAUAUACUCGCGUAUAAGGCGCCCUCGCUUAUAAGACGCAUCCUGAUAUUGGACUAUCGAUCGGGGAGGUUUUGCACUGACCCUCGUAUAAGACGCAGUCAUAUUUUUAUACAAACUACAUCAGAAAUUUGUAGAGAUGCAUUAUUUUCCCCAACAUUCUAUGAUUUGCAAUAGAAAAUAGCAGAAAAUGGACAAUUUUAUUGUAAAAAUGCAGAAUUUAAAUGAAUUAGUAACAGCGGAAAAAGGUUAAAGAAAGGCCGAAAUUUUGACAAUAUUCGCCGAUUUUAUUUUUAAAAGAACUUGCAGACUUGUUUUAUAUUAUGUUAAAUAAAAUAAAUUAUUUUAAAAUCAAGUUCGUGUGUAAAAAUGCAAUGUAGUAACUUCAAAACGGCGGAAAAUUGACGAUUUUCGCCGAUUUUAUUUUUGAAGAAACUUGAAAAUCUGUUUCAUAAUAUGUAGAAUAAAAUAAAGUAUUCUAAAAUCCACUUUCAUUGGUAAUAAUAUGCACAAAAUAUCUCCGAAACGGGAGAAAUUACGUCUAGAAAUGUGACGAUAUUCGCCCAUUUUACUCAUAAUGCUUAGAAACGCUGAAUGUUUGGCCAUGUUUCCAUAACAGUAACACAGAAUGUUUAGGAAAAUAAUGUAUUUCUUGCAAUUAUUCGAGGAUACGCAAUUUUUAAAUUGCUUUCAAAGGAUCUCCAAUACAUGUUUAGGAUUUUUCAUUCAAGCAUGCGCUGCAUACAAUGAGAAAAUUAAUGAGGAUAAAAUAUCCUCACCAAUUUUCCCAAAGUAAUUAACGCAAGUUCAAAAAAGCAAACAAACAAACAAAGCAUAUUACAUAUUUUAAUUUUAUGUGACAUACAGUAACUAAUAAUGCAUUAAUUUAUCACAUAUUUCAAACACAAAAAAAACUGACAAUAACGUAUCGAUUGAUUACUGAUAAGAUAGCAAAAAAGGUGGCGAGAUUAGGAUACAUGUACUUUUAUGGCAGUAAAUCUGACACAUUUGUCAAUCAAAUAUGGAUAUGCCCACUUUGAAAUGUUAUCCAAUCAUAUUCCAGUUCCGAGUAGCUAGACAUCCCUACUGUACCUUCAUUUGACUAGAGGGCAGAAUUAAAAUAAUUGCAGCCGACUAUUCUAUGAAGCCGCCAAUUAACAUCAAUCAGUGUUUAUGAUACAUCUAUUUCUAUACAUGUGUUUAUUUAACAGUUUGCACCUUCAGAUGAUUUAUAAUGGGUGCGUUUUAACAGUUUACACUUGCAACAAUUAUAGGUACCGUAUCAUAUGCAAUUGGGGAUAAUUAACUUUUAAUAACUCUCUGUUUGCGGGCGGUGAAAAAGUAUUUUCUUUGCUCAAUUAUAUCAGUCAUUUCCAAUUUAAGUAAAGCUAAUUCGUCAGAUUUUCUGAAAGAAUUUUUGAUUUUAAAAGAAAAAAAAUACAUUUGUAAAUAAAAAAUACUUCAGAUAUUAAACUACCAAAUCGUAAAGUAAGUAAAUAAUAGAUCGUUAUUGAGGACCGAAACACGGCGCUUGUCCGUUUAGAUUUUAAUACCGAUAUGCAAUGGCUGACGAAAAACGUAAGUAGCGGGUUGCAGACUCGGAAAAAAAUACAUUUAUAAAUAAAAUAUACUUUUGAUAUUAAUCUAUCAAAUCGUAAAAUAGGUAAAUAAUAAAUCUUUAUAGCGGACCGAAAUACGGUACGUGUCCGUAAAGUUUUUAGCACUGCUAUGCGCAAUGGCUGCCGAAAAACGAAAGUACAUGUCUGCAGACGCGGAAAUGAGAUGUCCUGAGCUGUAAACUCGGGACUUUUUUAAAAUUUUCACUUAAUUUUCUUGUAGUAUGCGCUUAUAAGACGCAUACCCUUCUAGGAAACGAAGAUAUGAUCCCCAAAACUGCGUCUUAUACGCGAAUAUAGACGGUAGAGUUAAAAGGGAACAAGCAAUUGUGGGUUGUGUAUGAUGAAUUGCACCAAUUUUGUGUAAUUUGUCUGUAUUAUUUGGAUUUGAAUUUUUCAGUAUCAGUCAUCUAAUUUGUCAGAAUCUGCCAUUAAAGAAUCUGAAGUGAAUGCCAACCUUUUUUAGCUCGACUAUUCGAAGAAUAGUCUAGCUAUUCUACUCACCCUGGCGUCGGUGUCGGCGUCACACCUUGGUUAAGUUUUUGCAUGCAAGUACAUACAGCCAUCAAUUAAAGGCAUAUAGCUUUGAAACUUAUUUUUUCUUUUUCUAGAUCAAUUACCAACCUCUCUGGGUCAAAUCCCAUAACUCUGACAUGUAUUUUGAGCAAAUUAUGCCCCCUUCUGGACAUAGAAAAUUUUGGUUAAAGUUUUACAUGCAAGUUACUAUCUCCAAAACUAAUGCAGAUAUUGAUUUGAAACUUCACAUGUGUCUUCGGGGUUAUAAAACUAGUUGAUAGCAGCAAGUCCCAUAACUCUGACCUUCAUUUUGGCUAAAUUAUGCCCCCUUUUGGACUUAGCAAAUUCUGGUUAAAGUUUUGCGUGCAAGUACAUAUAGCUAUUACUUAAAGGCAUAUAGAUUUGAAACUUAUUUUUUCUUUUUCUAGAUCAAUUACCAACCUCACUGGAUCAAGUCCCAUAACUCUGACAUGUAUUUUGAGCAAAUUAUGCCCCCUUUUAGACUUAGAAAAUUUUGGUUAAAGUUUUACAUGCAAGUUACUAUCUCCAAAACUAAUGCAGAUAUUGAUUUGAAACUUCACACGUGUCUUCAGGGUUAUAAAACUAGUUGAUAGCAUCAAGUCCCAUAACUCUGACUUUCAUUUUUUCCAAAUUAUGCCCCCUUUUGGACUUAGCAAAUUCUGGUUAAAGUUUUGCGUGCAAGUACAUAUAGCUAUUACUUAAAGGCAUAUAGAUUUGAAACUUAUUUUUUCUUUUUCUAGAUCAAUUAUUAACCUCACUGGAUCAAGUCCCAUAACUCUUACAUGUAUUUUGAGCAAAUUAUUCCCCUUUUUGGACUUAGAAAAUCCUGGUUAAAGUUUUGCGUGCAAGUACAUACAGCAAUUACUAAAAGGUAUAUAUAUUUGAAACUUAUUUUUUCUUUUUCUAGAUCAAUUACCAACCUCACUGGGUCAAGUCCCAUAACUCUGGCAUGUAUUUUGGGCAAAUUAUGCCCCCUUUUGGACUUUGAAAAUUCUGAUUAAAGUUUUACAUGCGAGUUUCUAUCUCCAAAACUUAUGCAGAUAUUGAAUUGAAGCUUCACAUGUGCCUUCGGGGUUAUAAAACUAGUUGAUAGCAGCAAGUCCCAUAACUGAUAUGCAUUUUGGUCAAAUUUUACCCCCUUUUGAACUUAAAACUCUUUUGAUAUUUAACCUUUUUGGGUAAUAUUUUCCUGCUUCUGGGACAAUAUUUCGAAUAGUCGAGCUUGGCUGUCUUACGGACAGCUCUUGUUUUUUUGGCGUCCAUGUAAAUUAUCAGCCAUUUCAAAAACAUGUUUCAGAUUCAAUCUAAGUUAAAUUUAGUAACGGUGUAUAAAUUUGAAAUUUUGGCACAGUUUGUGCUUUAUGCUGUUAAAAAAUGCAGAAAAGUUACGUUAUUACUCACUAAUCUUGAGCGUUAACAGAAUACUUUGUUUUAUAUAAUGAAUCUCCAGAUUUGUUUUUUUUUUUUUAGAAUGGAAUGUACUUUACUGGUAAGUAAGUUUUGAUAGAAUUGUUAUUCAGGAAUAGGGGCCUCUGCAGCCGAGUGGUUAAGGCUGCUAACAUUGAAUCUCUUGCCCCUUACCACUGUGGGUUUUGAAAUGUCUUGGGGUGUAGAAUUCUUUCAUGUGAGGAUGCCAUCUAGCUGACUUACAGAAGAUUGGUGAUUCUAGCCAGAUGACCAUCAGAUUCUGUGCCUGAAAUAAUGCCUUUAGGGGCAUCGGGGCUCUUCCUCCACCAUUAAAAGCUGGAAAAAUCAUAGGAUUAAUAAUUGUGUCGAUGUGAUGUUAAACCCAACAAAAACAUGCAUGCUGGUUACAAUUUCCAGAGUAUUCAUAAAACAGACAAACCAGCAAUAGAUAGAAACUAUUUACUAGUAAAGUUGCAGGUGUUCCAUUCUUUGUUUGCUUUUCACACUGGUAAAGUUGAUACUUGUAUAAUGUUGUAUGUUUGAGAGAGUGCUCUAGUUUUCAUGUUCAUUUUUCUAGUCUGAUUUAAAUCACUUUAUUUUCUCAGUAUCUUUGAUCACCACUGGUAAUUUCAUUUCAGAUACUUGGUAGAAUAAACAAUUGUGUUAAUGACUUCUUUAAAUCAUACAUGGAAAACAACAUAAAGUAUUUAUGAACCAUUUGUACUUGUAUUUAUAUUGAAAGAAAAACAUUGAUUGGCAGCAAAGAAUUUUUAUUUCAAAUUCUACCUCAUUAAUUUGCUGCUUUGGAACCAAUCUUUUGAAAGAGAUGUGUAUGCCUUGUAUAGACAAUGUAAUUCUAAUUCUGACAAAUUUUUGAAAUAUUUAAGAAAAUAUCUAAAUCCACAUAUGCUUAAAGUAUUUCUUUCGAUCAUUUCUGUUACUAUAUCAUUUAUUCUGAUAAUUUUUAGCUCAAGUGUUCUUGUUUAGUGUAUUUACAUUACUGUUUAUAGAUCUAAAAUUAAUAUUUACUUUUUUUUCAUUUAAUCCGUCCUUUGUUGUUGUUUUUUUACGUUUAGUAAGUUUGUAUAAUUAUGAUGAUUUUUGGGCUAUGUUUUUUUUUCAUUUUUCAGAUUUUUAGCUCACUUGAGCACAAAGAGAAGUACUCUUCAUAAGACUUUGUCAGAAUAUUUGUCUUUGUCUAGGUAAAGUCCAAAACUAGGUUACUUUAGGUAGGUUGCUAGGUCAAAUCACAGAAAAACAUUGUUAAUACUGUAGAGGCCACAUUUUCUACGUAAUAUUCAUAAAAGUUUUUCAGAAUGUUACUCUGUAUAAUCUAGGUCAAGUCCAAAACUUGGUAACCUUAAGUAAAAAAGUAGGUCACUAUGUCAGUUAGUAGAAAAAAUAACCGCCAAAACUAGAUGCCCAAUUUAGUACUUGAUCUUCAUUGAAGUUAGUCAAAAUGUUUGUCUCUAUAAAAUUUAUGUCCGGUAUGAAACUGGAUUAUCUAAAAUCAAAAACAAGGUCACUAGGUCAAAUCGUAGACUAGUAAAGCCUUGUUAACACUCAAGAAGCCCAAUUUUCUACUUCACCUACAGGCAACUUUUUCAGAAUGUGUGUCUGUUUUAAACUUAGGAAAAAUUAUCUGCGCCACUUGAGUAAAAAACAAGGUCAGUAGGUCAGAUCAUCAAAAAACUUGAUUAAUGAUCUACCCAAUAUACAUACAACAUGGUCAGAAUAUUUAUUUUAAUGAAAUCAAGGACCAUUCAGAUACUAGAUUAUCAAGGGUAAGAACUAGGUCAGCUGAGAGAUACAGGGCUUUCAUGAUUGUAAUAGUGCUAUGUGGUUUAAAAAAAAAAUGAUGCUAUGUAAUUUAUAAAUACUGGGAAUUUUGUGAAAGAAAUAUUACUAUACUAAAGGUUAUUUAUUAAAGGGUAUAUUUUUAUAGUUGGGCCUCAUUACACGGAGUAUCAUUAUAAGAAUAUCGGACAAUUGGUUGGAGAGAGUAUAAAAUUAUUAAGUUGUCUUUAAUUAUCUAAUUUAAUGUUACUUCCAUUUUUAUAGCAAAGAAGUGUUAUUGUCGAUUUUUUAUAAGUCAUGUCAUUGUAUCUGAUCACAUUUUCUUAAAUAAAAUGCCACUGGAAUUAAUAAAGUUACAAGAUA